ensembl:lncRNA
CUUACACAGCUUUGCGAUAACGUGUUUGAAAAACAAGUCCUGUCCAGAAGGGAUUGCAGUCAGGCAAAACAGGAUUUGAUUAACACGGUUGUCCUGAGGAUGAAGCAGUCUGUAGAGGAGGAUGUCUUUAUCCCUCUGUAUCCGAAAAGGUCAAACAAAAUCCUUAUUUCCUCUUCCUCUUUUUCUGACCAGCACUGUGGAAGACAAAUCAUCGCCAUGUUCAAAAUUGCAAGGCAGACGGUUUUGGUCAGCUGUUGAGUUUGUUUUCCAUCCUCACUGUCAGGGUUCUCUUUAGAAGUGGUGAUGUGCAGAACGGUUGAAAAUGUGUUUGUGUUGGGUAUCUUCUGACAGUUUGCCACUCUUUCUUUUUCUGGAGUGAAGUCAUGAAUUCUGUUUACCCCAGAGUAAGUAGUACUGCGGGUCAUGCAUUAAACUCUUUGGAUCUGUUCAGCAGCUUAUUAGUGUGACUUAUCUGUGUUUGAA